rnacentral:rRNA from 1 species
CCUACGGGGGGCAGCAGUGGGGAAUAUUGCUCAAUGGACGAAAGUCUGAACCAGCGAAGCCGCGUGAGGGAAGACGGUCCUCGGGUUGGAAACCUCUGUCUUUGGGGGAGAAAAUGACGGUACCUAUAGAGGAAUCUCGGGCGCACUACGUGCCAGCAGCCGCGGUAACACGCAGGGGGCGAGCGUUGUCCGGAAGUACGGGGUGUAAAGCGGGCGUAGGUGGGUGAGAAAGUUGGCGGUAAAAUCUACCGGCUAAACUGGUAACGGCGUUCAACACUUGUUGUCUUGAGUGACGGAGAGGCAGGCGGAAUUCGUGGUGUAGCGGUGAAAUGCGUAGAUAUCAGGAAGAACACCAGUGGCGAAGGCGGCAUGCUGGCGCUUAACUGACGCUGAGGCUCGAAAGCGUGGGGAGCAAACAGGAUUAGAUACCCCAGUAGUC